UGUGACGCGUGGCGCGGGCUUGGCGCUCCUUGGGGAUCCUUGGCGCUAUUUGGUGCUCCUUGGCGCCCCUUCGAGGAGUCCAGACCAACGCGCACGAGCACUGCGCGUGAGUGCCGGGCCGCCCCUCCUUCCUGGAGUCACGGCUGAAGCGGCUGCAGUACGAAGCCGGGCUGUUUGUGGCCCACGGGAUACUCACCAGUCUGGACCCUGUGUGGUGACUCGCGCGUCGUAGGCGCCUCCUUGUCCUCCCCGGCGGGGCCCGGGCUUCCCGUGGCAGGAUGUUCUCCCGAAGGAGCCACGGGGAUGUGAAGAAAUCCACCCAGAAGGUGCUGGACCCCAAGAAGGACGUGCUGACCCGACUGAAGCACCUGCGGGCACUGCUGGAUAAUGUGGAUGCAAGUGAACUUAAGCAGUUUUUUGAGACCAACUAUUCUCAGAUAUAUUUCAUCUUCUAUGAAAAUUUUAUAACACUGGAAAAUAGUCUAAAAUUAAAAGGCAAUAAUAAGUCACAAAGGGAGGAGCUGGACUCCAUCCUCUUUCUUUUUGAGAAAAUACUGCAGUUUCUACCUGAACGCAUUUUCUUUCGAUGGCAUUACCAGAGUAUAGGCUCAACUUUAAAGAAGCUUCUACACACUGGAAAUUCUAUUAAGAUAAGAUGUGAAGGAAUCAGGUUGUUUCUUCUGUGGCUUCAGGCACUACAGACAAACUGUGCAGAAGAGCAGGUGCUGAUUUUCGCUUGCCUCGUGCCUGGUUUCCCAGCGAUCAUGUCCUCCAGAGGGCCCUGUACUCUGGAGACACUCAUCAGUCCAAGCCCUAGUAUAGCUGAUGCAAAGAUAUAUCCAGAAGAAAUCACUCCACUCCUGCCAGCCAUAUCAGGGGAAAAGAUAGCUGAAGACCAAACAUGCUUUUUUCUUCAAAUACUAUUGAAAUAUAUGGUUAUUCAGGCUGCAAGCUUGGAGUGGAAGAAUAAGGAGAAUCAAGAUACUGGUUUUAAAUUUCUUUUUACAUUGUUUCGAAAGUAUUAUCUUCCUCAUUUAUUCCCAUCAUUUACUAAGUUAACAAACAUCUACAAACCUAUACUUGAUAUCCCCCAUUUAAGACCAAAGCCAGUGUAUGUUACUACAGUUCGAGACAAUGAAAACAUCUACAGUACCAAAAUUCCAUACAUGGCAGCACGUGUUGUUUUUAUUAAGUGGAUUGUAACUUUCUUUUUGGAAAAAAAGUAUCUAACUACAGCACAAAACACUAAAAAUGGAGGCGAUGUGUUGCCUAAAAUUGUGCAGACUGUUGGUGGUGGUGUGGUGCAAGAGAGGGCGCCAGAGCUGGAGAGUGAUGGACCUGCAGAGCCAGACAAAAACCAUUCUAACAGCAGAACCUUGUCAGACCGGAGACUUAGCAACUCUAGCCUUUGUAGCAUUGAAGAAGAGCACCGAACCGUGUAUGAAAUGGUGCAGCGGAUUCUUUUGUCAACUCGAGGUUAUAUCAAUUUUGUGAAUGAAGUAUUUCGCCAGGCAUUUUUGUUGCCUUCCUGUGACAUAGCUGUAACAAGGAAAGUAGUUCAAGUAUACAGAAAAUGGAUCCUCCAGGACAAACCUGUGUUCAUGGAGGAACCAGAUAAAAAGGAAGUUACUGAAGAAGAUGCUGAAAAAUUAGGAUUUUCUGAGACUGAAAGCAGGGAGACUGCAUCUGAAAGCUCUGGUCAUAAGCGAUCUUCCAGUUGGGGACGAACAUACUCCUUCACAAGCGCUGUGAGCAGAGGGUGUGUGACAGAAGAGGAAAAUAAGAACGUGAAAGCUGGGGCCCAGGCUACACUGCAGGUAUUUUUGACAAAUGCUGCAAACGUCUUUUUGCUGGAACCAUGUGCCGAAGUUCCCAUACUCUUGAAAGAACAAGUUGAUGCUUGUAAAGCUGUUUUGAUUAUUUUUAGACGCAUGAUAAUGGAACUUACAAUGAAUAAAAAGACGUGGGAACAGAUGUUGCAAAUACUACUCAGGAUAACAGAAGCUGUCCUGCAGAAGCCAAAGGAUAAACAAAUAAAGGACUUGUUUGCCCAGAGUUUGGCAGGGUUACUGUUUAGGACGCUCAUUGUGGCUUGGAUCCGAGCAAACCUCUGUGUGUACAUUUCUCGAGAGCUCUGGGAUGACUUUCUUGGUGUGCUGUCCUCCCUCACGGAGUGGGAGGAACUCAUAAAUGAAUGGGCCAACAUUAUGGAUUCCUUGACAGCAGUGCUUGCAAGAACUGUUUAUGGAGUUGAGAUGACAAAUCUACCUCUGGACAAAUUAAGUGAACAGAAGGAAAAGAAACAACGAGGCAAAGGCUGCAUUCUAGAUUCUCAGAAAGGAACUACUGUGGGGAGAUCCUUUUCUCUCAGCUGGAGGAGCCACCCAGAUGUGACUGAGCCAAUGCGAUUUAGGAGUGCCACCACAUCUGGGGCACCAGGAGUUGAGAAAGCAAGAAAUACUGUUCGUCAAAAAGCAACUGAAGUGGAAGAAUGUCAGCAGUCAGAAAAUGCACCUGCAGUUGAAUCUGGUCACCCGGCGGCAGAGCAGCAGCAGCAGCAGAUCGUUCGGAGCCACAGUACACCUGAUGUCACUGAGCCACUGUGCUCAGAGUUGGCUCAGGGUCAAAAGGUAGAAAACACACAGAAUCCGAGUUCUUCAGAGCCUAAGCCUAUCCAAGAAAAUAAAGGAUAUGUGAAGAAAGAAUAUGAAGGAAUAACAGUUUUAGUUCGAAGAAGCAGCAGCUCUGCUGAAUUGGAUUCAAAAGAUGAUUUACAGCAGAUGCAAGGAAAAUGUAGGGAAAGACAGAAGAGUGAAAGUGUCAGCAGUGACACAGCUUUGGGCUGUGACAAUGAGGCAGCAUUGUCCAUGAGCUCAUGGCAAACCUGUGAGGAAGAUACAGAACUGAACUCUCCUACAGAUGUUGUGGCUGACUCUGAUGCCCGCCAUUGGUUACAACUGAGUCCCACUGAUACUUCAAACUUAACAGAUAGCAGCGAAUGCCUUGCAGAUGACUGCAGCAUAAUUGCUGGAGGGAACCUCACUGGUUGGCACCCAGACUCUGCUGCUGUGUUAUGGCGAAGAAUCUUGGGAAUCCUUGGAGAUGUGAAUAAUAUCCAGUCACCGAAGAUCCAUGCCAAAGUUUUUGGCUAUCUCUAUGAACUCUGGUACAAACUAGCAAAGAUACGAGAUAAUCUAGCAGUAAGCCCGGAUAACCAGUCUUCUCCAUCCCCUCCGGUCUUGAUCCCACCACUCAGAAUGUUUGCAUCAUGGCUAUUUAAGGCAACAACAUUGCCAAAUGAAUAUAAGGAAGGCAAACUACAAGCCUACAAAUUGAUCUGUGCCAUGAUGACCAGACGCCAGGAUGUUCUGCCAAACUCAGACUUCCUGGUGCAUUUUUACCUUGUGAUGCACCUGGGAUUAACCAGUGAGGAUCAGGAUAUCUUAAAUACCAUUAUAAGGCACUGUCCACCCCGUUUUUUUUCCCUGGGUUUGCCUGGCUUUUCAAUGCUGGUGGGGGAUUUUAUCAUGGCUGCUGCCAGGGUUCUCGGUACAGACAUGCUGGCGGCACCUCGUUCAGAAGCUCUCACCAUUCUCGGCUCUCUUGUCUGCUUUCCAAAUACCUACCAGGAGAUCCCUUUGCUGCAGUCAGUUCCAGAAGUUAGUGAAGUCACUACAGGAACUGAAGAUAUCAAGCAUUACCUCAUAAAUAUUUUACUGAAGAAUGCCACAGAGGAACCAAGCGAAUGUGCAAGAUGCAUUGCCAUUUGCUCCCUCGGAGUCUGGAUAUGUGAAGAGCUUGCACAGUGCACAAGGCAUCCUCUGCUGAAAGAGGCCAUCAAUGUGAUAGGUGUCACUUUGAAGUUUCCUAACAAAAUCGUGGCUCAGGCAGCUUGUGAUGUUCUUCAGUUACUGGUUUCCUACUGGGAGAAGCUUCAGAUGUUUGAAACCUGUCUGCCUCUGAAAAUUGCAGAAAUCCUUGUGGCCACAAUUGCUUUUCUUUUACCAAGUGCAGAGUACUCCUCAGUGGAAACAGAUAAGAAGUUUAUUGUGUCCUUGAUACUCUGCCUCUUGGACUGGUGCAUGGCUUUGCCAACAAAUGUACUUCUCCACCCAGUGUCUGUGGUGGCCCUGGAGGAACAGCACUCAUCCAGAGCCCCUUUGCUGGACUAUAUCUACAGGGUUCUCCACUGCUGUGUGUGUGGCUCAAGCACAUACACCCAACAGAGUCACUACACAUUGACCCUGGCUGACCUGUCAUCUUCAGAUUAUGACCCCUUCCUGCCAUUGGCAAAUGUGAAGAAUUCUGAGCCAGUCCAAUAUCACUCAUCAGCAGAAAUGGGCCACCUGUUUACUGUGGAAGAGGAGAGGAAGAGACGAAGUUUGGAACUGAUCCCUUUGACUGCCAAAAUGGUGAUGGCCCACCUGGUGAACCACCUGGGACACUUCCCCCUCCAUGGGGGUCCGGCUGUGUUGCACAGCCUGGUCAGUGAGAAUCAUGACAACACACUUGUGGAAGCUUCUGAGCUCUCCUCCGAGGUGUUCAGGAGUCCAAACCUGCAGCUGUUUGUAUUUAAUGAUAGCACCCUCAUCUCCUACCUUCAGACGCCCACAGGAGGACUGGCAGGCAUCUCACCAGUGGGUGCCCUCUCAGAUGUGAGAGUAAUUGUGAGGGACAUCUCGGGAAAGUACUGCUGGGAUGGGAAGGUUUUGUAUGGACAUUUAGAAGGCUGCUUAACACCCAGCAGCAGAAAUCCUUCAUUUCUAAUUUCGAGCUGGCGUCAUCAAAUGUUUGGACCUCAGAGAGAUUUUUCUCAGACCGAGGAGGGAGAUGAUGUCCUUGACAAAUUACUUGAAAACAUUGGUCAUACUAGUCCUGAAUGUCUUUUACCAUCACAGCUAAAUCUAAAUGAGCCUUCCCCACCCCCACAUGGAAUGAACCAUGACCAAGAGAAGGAAAUCAUCAAGGUCAUUUUGCACCAGAAUGCACAAGAAGAUGAAUAUGUUGAGAGGAGUAACUCUGAUUCAGCCCUGAGAGUCCCCAGUCAGGAGCAGCCCUCACCAGUGGAACCCCAGGGACCCUUUUAUUUUUGCAGGUUGUUGCUUGAUGAGUUGGGAAUGAAUUCUUGGGACAGAAGGAAGAAUUUUCAUCUGUUGAAGAAAAAUUCAAAAUUACUGAGAGAGCUAAAAAAUCUAGACUCCCGUCAGUGCCGUGAAACGCAUAAAAUUGCAGUGUUUUACAUUGCUGAAGGUCAAGAAGACAAGUGUUCGAUCCUCUCCAAUGACAAAGGAAGUCAAGCGUAUGAAGAGUUUGUUGCUGGGCUUGGAUGGGAGGUGGAUCUCUCAACCCACUGUGGAUUCAUGGGUGGACUUCAGCGCAAUGGCAGCACAGGACAGACUGCUCCUUACUAUGCUACCUCGACUGUGGAAGUGAUUUUCCACGUUUCCACUCGGAUGCCAUCAGACUCAGAUGAUUCACUCACCAAAAAGCUCCGCCACUUGGGGAAUGACGAGGUCCACAUCGUCUGGUCUGAACACUCCAGGGACUACCGCAGGGGUAUCAUCCCAACUGCCUUUGGAGACGUUUCAAUCAUUAUUUACCCAAUAAAGAAUCACAUGUUUUUUAUUGCAAUAAGGAAGAAACCAGAGGUUCCAUUUUUUGGGCCUCUGUUUGAUGGAGCCAUAGUGAGUGGGAAGUUAUUGCCAAGCCUUAUAUGUGCCACAUGCAUCAAUGCCAGCAGGGCUGUGAAGUGCCUCAUCCCACUCUACCAGAGCUUCUACGAAGAGCGAGCUCUGUAUCUCGAAGCAAUAAUUCAGAACCACCGUGAAGUAAUGACAUUUGAGGAUUUCGCAGCCCAAGUCUUUUCUCCAUCUCCAAGCUACUCCCUUGGUGGAAUGGAAAAAACUAGCUGACAACAAGCCAACUGGAAAAAUUGACCCCCGAUGAGUGGCUCAAGCUCCCACAGUGCACUGAAGACCCAGUCAGACCAUCCUGGCCAGCAGUGUCAUCAAAGCCAGGCCUUCGGCUCCUGCUCACAUGCAUAUGCACAAUCUGAACAAGUAGGGGCUCUCAGGUUUUCUUUCAAAUCAGUCUGGAAAUAUUGGGCAGCAGGAAAAAGGAUACAGUGAUUAAAAUACAUAAAGUUCUCAUUGCAGUAUUUGAGCAAGGGCCCUGGCCACCAGCCUGAGUGCCUGCCUCACAGCGUUCUUGGCAAAGAGGAGAUGGUUGAGAGUCCCCCAUUACCCACACCCAGAAACCUCCAAACCCAGACACUCCAGAAACAUGGCGGUUGUGCUAGAGCCCUCAGCAAACCUUCCAUUAAUGGACUUCCGAAGUUAAAGACAAAUCCCAUGGAAUGUUGCAGAUUGGACUUUCAAACUAGGCACUGUUGUCUUGCCCAGAAACCUCAUGAAUCUUGGGCUUCAAAAGAAGAAAAAGUCACCAACAAACACAGACAUACCCACCCUCAUUUAGGCAUUGGUGCGGCUGCUCCAGGCAGAGGCAGCAGAAGAUUCCAGGCUUUCAGAGAGGGGGCGCAGGAUGUCUGGUUUCUAUGCCCUAUGUUGUUUCCUCUCAUUGAUGCACCCAAGCAUGAUUCACAGAGGGGCCGGCAAAACAACGGUCAAAUUGUUUGAGGAAUUUUCUCUGUAUUGAUUUUGCUAGGUCUCAUGUUAGAAUUUAUGGUUUACUCAAAAAUUUCAUCAUCAGGGAAAUUGGCUUUCCCUAGGGUCUUUUGCCCAGGAGAAGUUUUACCUCAGUUGGUGAGUGUUUUUUCACCUGGUGACUGAGGCCUACUAAAUGAGGAGAGGUUUUCCUGAGCAUGCUGGAUGCACUCCAGGUUAUGACAAUGAUACUUCUAUCACAGAGCACUCAGAUGUUUCUAGAAAUGCAGGGUCCUGUCCCUGUGAAAGCUCUGUAGGUCAGGAAGCUCCCAAGGCCCCUCUGAAAAUAGCACCAAGCAAAGACCUUGGCAGCUCAGGUGCUAGACUGAAACAGGCACCGUGCAAUGUCCAUCUGUCUCCAAGAGCUUCCCCUGGAAUUGUGCUCUCCUGCCCACUGCCCGGACAAGGCCGUGGCAGGGGCCUUAGGGAUAUUUUCCAUCGUACAGAGCUUUAGGGUGACAGAUUCCAAGCAAGGGUUUGAUCAUGCUUUUCACUCAUUUGGCUCUAAGGGAUGCAUAAUGACCUUAUUUUUAAAAAAGAAAAGGAAAACCAAUGAAAAGCUCUGCCUCUGCUGGCACUUUCACAGCACCCUUGCUGGGUGUCUGAGGGUGUCAGAAACAGAAAUCAGUCAACAGGGGAGACCUCUGCUUCUCACCUGUCUUGGCCUGUCUCAAUGUGGAGUUUUGCCCUGCCACCCACUGCAGUCUUUGUCUUGUAAGGUCAUUUCAGACACACAAGUCCAGAGUAGAGUAAACUGCUGGCUCAGAAUUUGGGGGUGUGGGGGGAAGGCAGCUACUAGGGGAUGCUCCAGUCAGAAGAGAGGUCAGGCGUGCAUCGGUGUUUUCCCUCUCCCCUCUGCCCUCUGCCCUUCACCCUCUGUCCGUCUGUUCUGCACCCAUGUGUGUUACCCCAGCCUGCUUAGGUAACCUUUCCGUGAGCCCUCAGAGCUACUUGAUAGUGUCAGUGCAGCCAUUUUCACUGACCAGUCAGUUCUUUCUGUCAACCAUCCAGUUGGUUUGGCUGGCACCUGACCUUUGAAGAGAAAAGGGCAGAUCCAAGAGCAAGUGAAAGGGGAUUGGAAGGUCUUUCCUAUUAGAAGGGUAGACCUUCUAGUUCUAAAGAGAAUUGUUUUUUUGCUCUAUAGGAGAUUCAAGUGGGGCUUAAGGCCCAGGCCCAUCAGGCAGAAGCAGCUUAAACACAUCUGUGUAUGAGAGGAUGGGGGAUGCCCCAAAGUAGAAAAGACAUAGUCUUAGUCAUUUUGUGCCAUUGUGUAAACAGGGAUUUGUUCCCUGGUUGGGGCUGAAUGGGCAAUGUAAAGGCUGACUGGAAGUCACAGCAUUUUCUGUUGUCUCAGUAAAUUUCAGGAGUUUAUGUUCCCCUCCCACACACACACACCUUUUUAAUGAUUUGGGCUUUCUGGUGGGCUUAGUUUGCCUCAUAACUCACACUUGAGACUGCCUGUGAGUUGCUUGUUUCGUAUUUACAAAAUAGCCAAACCUUAUUCUUUCCAGGAAAGGCAGUGUGUGUUGCUGGGCUCUAGAGUCCCAUGGAGACUCUGUUGGGAAGUAGUGUCUAGAACAUUUCAUCUUAAGAUUCUAUAAAUCUCUGGUGCAGAAUUCUUGGAUUUAGUUGAAGUGUUGGAACUUGGGAGUCAUACUGAACUCCCCUGGACUUCUGCUCCAUGAUUCCAUUUUACCUCCAGCAACCAAUGCUUCUCUCACCCUGCAGUGGCAAACUCAGUUGUAGGUAGCAAAGACCUUUCUGUCAUCCCUAAUGAUUUUGACAAGUCUGUGACCCCAGAUUACAACCAGCAGUUUUGCCACUGGAGCUUUUCCUGAGCCCACUAUUCUUAGUACUGGGUUUCAUUUGGAGACUUGGAAUGGGGAAAUGGGAUCUGGCAACCAGGUUUGUUUGCAGUCAUGUAGACUUGAAUCAUUUUUGUUAUUUGAGGUGGAAAAUUGAAAUGGUCAAGUCUUUUUUUUUUUUUCACUUAGAAAAGUAAAUACUAUGCUUUUGUAAUUAAUGCCUUUCAACUAAAUUGCUAAGGGUCACUCAUCUGCUGGGGUCCCACCUGAGUUGUAUUAGUAGGUCAGCCGUCUGUAAACAAAAGUGGCCCUUUAUUGGCCCAAAAUUGGUAAGACUCACUGGCUUCCAGGCAGGACCGGAUGAUUCCCUUACUUCUCUGCACUCUGCUGUUCUGUAGUCUCACUGAGUAGGUUUUGUACCUAAAAAAAUAGUAACGGCACAAAAUGAUGGCUCCUUUAAAUAUAGUAAAGUCUUAAGUAGCCAGAAGGGAGGAAAUUUAACUUGGGUAAAUGACUAUCACAGUGUCUUCAUGCAUUUAAGCCUGCAGUCCCUAAAAAUCCAUGGGGAAGGGUAGAGGGUUCAGCCUUCAUUUUGUGAGAGAGGCUAACAGAUCAGAUCCUUAGCCUUACAAACAAGAUCACCUGGGCCCAUAGCUGUACAAAUCACAUUGCAUCUUCCUGAACUUCCUCCCGUGCGAACAACUGUGCUUCAUUUACUGUUAUAUUUGUAUCACCUGGAAGCUUAAGGGACUCCUUAAAAACUUACUGUGAUGUCUUCCAUGUAACUAUGCUACCUUUAUGUCUACUGAAAGGGAGUGUCUGCAUCUGAAGGGAAAUUAAACAUGAACAACCAUCCUUUUAGUUGCACUCAAUAUCUAUGUAUGACAUACACAUUAAAUGAAUGCUUUCAGGCCUAAAAUAUCUAGUUCUUGUAAAGAAGGAAUAUUAUAAUUAAGUUACAGCAUGUCAUUUGAUUUUUAUUUUGCUCUUAUUUUCUGAAUGUUCACACCUGGGUUUACACCCAGGUGAUAGAGACGUUUUUAUGUAACACACCCUUUCGGUCAUGUGUGUAUGUUGUGCCAGGUCGCUGCACAGAGCGUGCCACGCCCAGAGAAGCACACAGCUCCACAGGUGACCACCACGACUCUCUAGUCUACCCUCUUUUUCUUCUUAAUUAUGAUUUACUGUGAUGAUUUAAUAAAAUAGAAACACAGCACUUA